AAAAGUCUUAAGACAGCGCUGGACAGUUUAAAGCUACAUAUGACACAGACUAUUAUUAUAAUGUUGGCUUUGACAGCCCAAUGAAGCUUUUGAACAGACACAAUGAGGUUUGGUUUAUUCCUAAGGGUGAGCCUGUGUGUCCUUAGAGUGAAUCAUUUCUCUGAGGCUCCUCUCUAGCAAGAGCAACAGAGAACAGAUCUGUAUAACUCCUGAGUGCUACAGUCCUAACAAGCUAGAUACAAGUACUUUGUCCUGUAUAGGAUUUUGUACUAUAAAUACAAUUUGAAUGGAGAACGUUUAAAAAAAUGAUGCCAUUUGUCUAAGGAAAAGGUCAAAUGCUUAAAAAAAUGAUGCUAUUUAUCGAAGGAAAAGGUCAAACUCGAAAGAGUGGUAUUUUUUUCUAUACGCAUUUUAUAUGUUUUAACAAAUAAAAUAGAAACAUCAUUGUAAACA